UGUGGUACUCCACAUUUAGAAAUCGGGAAUUCCUUAUUUCUAAAUGUGGAGUACCACAUUUAGAAAUCGGGGAAUUCCUUAUUUCUAAAUACUCCACAUUGGACUUUGGGCGACAAAAAAAAAUCAUGUUUCUCAUUAUGCAUUGUUGGUUUUAUCAGAUAAAUAUAUGCGGGAGCGUGGGUUCUCAGCACAAAGAAGACAACUUCGUCACAGCUUACAGCUUGCUGAAUUGAUCGCAAAACUGAGAGGGAAAACUGGCGUAUUAAACUCUAAAAGUUUAAUACGUCAGUUCAGUCGCAAUUGCUAACGAUUCUCAAGAUGGAGUCUGGAGGGCGGUAUACUGUGCGUCUGGUCCUGUACCACUUGUGUCUGGCCUAUGAUCAUCUCCUCAUCUCAACCCUUUUCAGCUUGGCUUUAGCAUCUCAUGCAGCAUCCACAAGGAUCACACGAGCCACUCCUCCCAUCAUUUCUGACAUGAACAAUCAGGAGGUUAGCGUUGGUAGCACCGUCACAUUUGAUUGUCGAGUCAGAAGCUUAGCAGUACCAGCAAUCCACUGGUGGAAAACGGACCAGUCAGGCAGUAGACAUGAACUGAGAGCCAUUCCAGAUAAGAUAGACAUACUCAUUGAAAUGUAAGUGUCCAUGCACCCUUCUGUAUUCCAGAAUACUCCUAGGCAAGAGAAUGUUUAUUCUCAGACAUUGAAGAUCUACAGAGUAACUUUGGAAGAUGCUGGAUCCUAUAUAUGCUACGCAGGUAUCAAGGCAGGAACCAGCAGAUAGAGUGCACAGCUGACUGUCAGUCAAGUCAAGACUCAACCCAUCAUUUCUACCAUGGGAAAGCAGAAGGUUAGAGUUGGUAGCACAGCCACGUUUAAUUGUCAAGUCCAGAGUACGACUUCAACAGCUUUUGAGUGGUGGAAAACAGAAACAACAUCAAGCAAUAAUAGUAGACUUGUACCCAUUCGAAAGAAGAUUGACAUACAAGUUAACAACCCUCUGCAAGAAGAUGUUUAUUCUCAGACGUUGAGCAUCUACAGCGUAACUAAGGAAGAUGCUGGAAACUACAUGUGCCGCGCCGAGAACGACUUUGGAAGCAGCACAAAGAUAGCGGAGUUGGAAGUCACUUCAGCUCCUCCCAAGAAUAAGCCCCCUCCCAAGAAAAAGCCCCCUCCUCGAAGAGGGGGGAGCAUGAAAUUCAGCGCACCGGGACCCGUUGCACUGAUUCUGAUGUUACUCUGUGGAUAUGCCUUGGGGAAUCAAUUUGUUCUUUGACUAAAGGUCCAGGAUUUUCAAAUUCUUUUUAAAAUUUUUUUGUCAAUUUUGUCAAUGUAUUACUUCAAUAUGGAACUGUAAUUUUUGAAUGUUCAAUUGAACUGUAAUAUUGUAUUUGUUGUUAUGUGCAUUUGAGAUUUGUUAUGUGAUUUGCGCAGUGUGAUUACAUGUAUAAUAAUAGUCAAAUUUCCUGUUAAUGUACCUUUAAACAUCGAAAAAUAAAAUGACCAAGUUUUUACGAAAUACCUUACAGGAA